GUCCAGCGUCAGCCUGCAGGACGGAGUCUGGGUCCCGAGCGCAGGGGCCCCUCACUGCCUGUACUGGAAGGCGAUCUCAGCAAUCAGCUUCCUGCGCUGGCGGUACACCUGGUCCGAGAAGCCCUGAGGGCAGAGGGGAUGCACGGGUCCCCAGCAGCGGCACCUUUCUGCGUGUGUGUGACCGAUUCGUUCACGUCGACUCCUCCCCUGGACAGAGGCUUCUGGAAAACUAAAGUUGGCCCCUUGGUUCCCCCCUUGCCAGGCAGGGCUGGCCCUCAGAGCCUGGUGGAUGAACAGACCAGGAGGGAAGUUUGGGAACACCCGGCUCAGAGAUGAGAAGAGAGGGUGGAUCAGCCGCCACAUGGCAAAGCCAUGGGCCAGCUCUCCCUGCCACGGCCAGUGGACCCGGGACUUGGGUUCUCCAGCAUGGGCCCAGGCGGCUCGGAGCAGGGGCUGCUUCCCUCCGGCCCUUUCCCCGAAGCCCGCUCCCUUCUCCACCCCCGUCCCUGCCCACUCCCCGCAGGCCGGGGUGCACUUGGAGCCCCGAGGACCUCCGAGGCUGUCGCCACCCUCCUCUGUUCUGACUGCUUUCUAUUACUGGGCUUGUAAAAUGAUUAUUGUUUUGCUGUGGUAAGAUGUACAUAAUAUAAGAUUUACCUGUUUUUUUUGUUUGUUUGUUUGUUUUCGUUUUUGAUUUUUUUUUUUUGAGGCAGGGUUUCAGUCUGUCCCCCAGGCUGCAGUGCAGUGGCACAAUUUUGGCUUACUGCAGCCUCGAACACCUGGGUUCAAGCAAUCCCCCCACCUCAGCCCCCCAAGUAGCUGGGACUAUAAGCAGGUGCCACCACAUCCGGCUUUUUUGUAGAGAUGAGGUUUCUCUGUGUUGCCCAUGCUGGUCUUGAACCCUGGCACUCAAGUGACCCUCACACCUCCCAGCACCUCAGCCUCCUAGAGUGCUAGGCUUGCAGGCGUGAGCCACUGCGCCUGGCUAAAUUUU
rnacentral:lncRNA from 1 species